rnacentral:rRNA from 1 species
AAGGCGACGAUCCCUAGCUGGUCUGAGAGGAUGAUCAGCCACACUGGAACUGAGACACGGUCCAGACUCCUACGGGAGCCAGCAGUGGGGAAUAUUGCACAAUGGGCGCAAGCCUGAUGCAGCCAUGCCGCGUGUGUGAAGAAGCCCUUCGGGUUGUAAAGCACUUUCAGUCGUGAGGAAGGUGURAUAGUUAAUAGCUGCAUUAUUUGACGUUAGCGACAGAAGAAGCACCGGCUAACUCCGUGCCAGCAGCCGCGGUAAUACGGAGGGUGCGAGCGUUAAUCGGAAUUACUGGGCGUAAAGCGCAUGCAGGUGGUUUGUUAAGUCAGAUGUGAAAGCCCGGGGCUCAACCUCGGAAUAGCAUUUGAAACUGGCAGACUAGAGUACUGUAGAGGGGGGUAGAAUUUCAGGUGU